rnacentral:ncRNA from 2 species
UCCUUAUCAAGAGUGGUGGAGGGACUGACCCUAUGAAACCCGGCAACCGGUUUGUAUGCCAUACAAACAAAGGUGCUACGUUCAGCAGAAUGUAUUCAUUCUGGUAGAUAAGGG